AAUUAUUGAACAAAAUUAUCCUUUACAACUUAAACAUAUCACAAUACACAAACACCAUCACUUUUUCACACUUUUUAUCAACAUCAUGUUCAAUAAAUAAGAUGUGAAAUAAUGGUUACACAACUACCAUGCUAGUUGUGAACGAUUCACUCACACACACAAGUUCAUAGUACUACAAAAUAAUGACUUAAAGUUUCAACACCUCAAUACCC
rnacentral:lncRNA from 1 species